rnacentral:lncRNA from 1 species
AAAAAACAACAACAACAGCAUUGGCCUCUUAGGACUGUCGGCCCACCGGGAAAAUACCUGGUACGCCAGAUUACCAGUCCAGCCCUGGGUAGGUAUAACAACAUUAAUGUGCUGCUCUGUGGGUUAAAAAAAAGUAAUAACGUUUUAUAACCUCAAAACCUCUUCUGCACUUUUAUAGUCUUACCUACAGUUACAGUUACUUACUUACAUGUAGUUCUGGUAGUGACAGUGACUGAACUAGGCUUGUGUUAUUGUGUAUUAGUAUUGAUUUUUUUAGUCAGGUCUAUUGUCUGUUACUAUUUAUAAGGAAUGAUCUAUGAGACUGAAGCUGAUGCCAGCAGUCCUGGAUUGUAAAGACUGAUGUGGAAAGUUUUGUGUUAAAUUUAAGGGAUUCUAAAAUCUUAAAUCCUUUCUUACACAAGGCUGUUUUGCGACAAUCACAAGAAGACAUUGAGAACAUCAUGAUCAAAAUGAAGCGCUUCAUAACAAGCAGACAAGAACAACCUGAAAACACCAUGGUAAGAUUUGAUUAACUGCUGUAACUGUUCACUGCAAACAGUCCACCUUAAAUUAACUUUAAAUGCCUUGUACUUUUUCCAAAGCCUGCAAAACACUUCGAUUUGGCCAUCCAAGAGUUUCAAAUGGCGAUCCAUCAAAAGAAGAAUGGAUGCUACAACACUGAUGAGUUGCAGGAUAUUCCUGAUGUUUUGCGCCCAUUGAUUGAGGAUUGCUACAAGAUUGGCUGUUUGAUGGCUUUGCAUAAUCCACCUCUCCUGCUUGACUUCGACAACAGCGAGCAAGGAACCUUCCCACCCAUUAAGACCGAUGUGAUCAGGAAGACUGAACCCUUCAGCUCACCAGUGGAUCUACAUAGCAAACAGCCUCCUCUAGAGAACUUAGAUCCUCCAGAAGGAUCACAGAAGCGUCCCUGUGAUGCUGAAGAAUUUGAUAAGAAAUGUACAGACCCCAAAGUUUUCAUCGCCAUAGAUUUUGGCACAGAAUUUUCUGGAUACUCAUUUGAUAAUGCUGGAUCAAAAGAGGUCUGUCUACCUGUGGACUGUGGAGGUGUGAACACUAACAUUACUGAUGCUGAAAAAGUGGAUGAGAAAUGUACAGAACCCACAGUUUUCAUCGCCAUAGAUUUGGGCACAGAAUUUUCUGGAUACUGCUUUAGGAUUGCAGGAUCAGUAGAGGUAUGGCAACCUAAGUGGGGCGAGGCGUUUGGAUUUAACACACCCAAAACACCAACCUGCAUUUUAUUUGAUGAAAAUGAAAAGUUCUUAGAGUUCGGUUAUGG